rnacentral:tRNA from 1 species
GCCUGGGUGGCUCAGUCGGUUGAGCGUCCAACUUCAGCUUGGGUCAUGAUCUCAUAGUCUGUGAGUUCAAGCCCCACGUCGGGCU